UUAGGAAUAUUGCACAAUGGGGGAAACCCUGAUGCAGCAACGCCGCGUGAAGGAAGAAGGUCUUCGGAUUGUAAACUUUUGUCUUGCGGGACGAAUAAUGACGGUACCACCAGAGGAAGCACCGGCUAACUCCGUGCCAGCAGCCGCGGUAAUACGGAGGGUGCAAGCGUUAUUCGGAAUUACUGGGCGUAAAGAGCGUGUAGGCGGCUUGAUAAGUCAGAUGUGAAAGCCCUGGGCUUAACCCAGGAAGUGCAUUUGAUACUGUCUUGCUUGAGUAAGGGAGAGGAGAGCGGAAUUCCAGGUGUAGCGGUGAAAUGCGUAGAUAUCUGGAAGAACACCAGUGGCGAAAGCGGGGCACUGGGCCGAUUCUGACGCUGAGACGCGAAAGCGUGGGGAGCAAACA
rnacentral:rRNA from 1 species